rnacentral:lncRNA from 1 species
CCCAUCGGCCCGCGCCCCAGCCCGCGGGCCCCCGCCCCCGGGCUCUGCGCUGACGCCGGACGGCCCCCGCCCCCACGCCCCCCGCCCCGGCCGGGGGGUAGCUCACCUGUUUGUCGGCGGGGCCGCUCCCGCUCGCCCCUCUGACUGACUCCUCCGGCUCACCGUCUUCCCUCUGGGAGGAAGGGGCGGGACUUCCGGCUUCGGCGCUCCCCACUUCCGGCGGCUCCCAGGACCACUCGUUCGGGGACGGGGCGCCGGGCAUCUUGGCCAGAACCCCGGAUCUUGGAACCGGGGCUAGUGAAGGCCACAUCGAGUUCUCCCUCCCUGUCCCGACGGGCCGGAGGGCCUGUAAACCUCUUGUGUUCAGUCUGGUGCCUCCUGCCGGUAGUCACUGGGCUGUGGAACAGGAAGUCCCGCCCCCUCCCCAAGUGAGGAAAACAGAAAAAUCGGAGAGGAGACUCAGAAGUCCGGAGAGAGGACCGCAGCUUGAAAAGUCUGCAGAGAGGAGCGGGCCGCUGUGCCACCCCGCUUAGGGUCAGUGUAAGGACAGAGCUUGCUAAGGAGUUUUGACUUUAUCUCGAAGAUGUAGGGAGGGGAAUUUCCUAAAUAAUCAGCUUUGUAUAAUUUUUAAGAAAGUGGAGUUUUUCCAGGAUAGUAUUACAAUGAUAGGCUUAUCUCAACCUGCUGGAUCAGAUAGAUGGUAAGAAUCUGCUUGCAGUAUGGGAGAUCCAGGUUCGAUCUCUGGGUG